GUUCUUUGAGGUAUCUCCAUACUGAUUUCCACAGUGGUUGCACCAGUCUACACUCCCACCAGCAGUGGAGCAGGGUUCCUCUUUCCCCACAGCCCCGCCAGCAUUUGUUACUGAUUUAUUUCAUGAUAGCAGCCAUUCUUUCUGGAGUGAGGUGGAAUCUAAGAGUUGUUUUCAUUUGCAUCUCUCAAAUGACCAGUGAUGUUGAACAUUUUUUCAUGUGUAUAUUUGCUAUUUCUACUUCUUUGUCUGAGAAAAGUCUGUUCAUUUCAGAUACCCAUUUUUGGAUUGGGUCUUUAAAUUUGGGAGGUCUGAUCUUUUUAAGUACUUUAUAGAUUUGAGGUAGUAGACCUUUGUCUGAGGAAGAGCAGGUGAAGACUUUUUCCCACAUUGUGGGUUGUCUCUUCACACUGCUGGUGUUUUCUCUUGCAGUGCAGAAGCUUUUUAAUAAGAAGAGAUCCCACUUGUUGAUUGUUUAUGCUAGUUCACAGGCAACUGAGGUUUUGCUAAUAAAAUCUUUUCCUACACCAGUGUCUUCAAGAGUUCUACCUAACCUCUGUUCCAGGAGAUUUAGCAUUUCUAAUAUUUAGAUCCUUAAUCCAUUUUGAUUUUACUUUAGUGCAUGGUGAGAGAUAUAGGUCUAGUUUUAAUCUUUGACAAGUUGAAACCCAAUUUUUCUAGCACCAUUUAUUAAAGAGACUAUCUUUCCUCCAGUGAGGGUGUUUCACUCCUUUGUCAAAGAUGAAGUGGCUGAAUGUGUCUGGGGAUGUUUCUGCAUCUUCUAAUCUGUUCCAGUGGUCCUCACGUCUGUUUCUUUGCCAGUACCAUGCUAUUUUUUAAAUCACAGUAGCACUGUAGUAUAGUUUCAAGUUGGAGGUUGUGAUACCCCCUGCCAUGUCUCUGUUGCCUAGAAUUACUUUUGCUAUUCUGAGUCUCUUGUUUUUCCAAAUGAAUUUUUGAAUUGUUUUCCCAAGGUACGUGAAGUAUGCUGCUGGGAUUUCAAUUGGGAUUGCAUUGCAUCUAUAUAGCAAUUUUGGAAGUAUGGCCAUUUUCACUAUGUUGAUUCUUCCAAUCCAGGAGCAGGGGAUAUCUUUCCAUUUUCUGAUAUCCUCUUGAAUCUCUCUUUUCAGAGUGGUAUAGUUUUCAGAGAAGAGGUCUUUGAUUUCUUUCGUUAGGUUGAUUCCUAGAUAUUUCAGUUUUUUGGAUGCUAUUGUGAAAGGAAUUGUUUGCCUUAUUUCUCUCUCAGUGAGUCUGUCAUUUGUGUAGAGGAAAGCCACUGAUAUUUGUGUGUUGACCUUGUAACCAGCUACUUGACUGAAUUUGGUUAUUAAGUCUAGAAGACUUUUGGCAGA
ensembl:lncRNA